rnacentral:misc_RNA from 1 species
UGGUGCCAGUAGCCUAAUAAUGACU